rfam:Nematostella vectensis strain CH2 x CH6 NEMVEscaffold_422_Cont26808, whole genome shotgun sequence.
GACGAGGUGGCCGAGUGGUUAAGGCGUUGGACUGCUAAUCCAAUGUGCUCUGCACACUUGGGUUCGAAUCUUAUCCUCGUCG